UGAGACUUUGAAGAUUUAGGGAUGAAGAUUUAGGGUUCAUGGUGUUCAAGCAUCACAAUGAACACUUGUAUGCAUUGCUUCCAAGCCCUCACAUCAGAGCUGCGAAUUUUCCUAGUUUACUCAUAGCAAAGCAGAGAUUUCUCAGAAUGUCAUGGAGUCUACUGUGGACCUUGUCCUGCACUAUGGAGGUAAGUGGAGGAGUGAAGAUGAGAUGGUGUAUGAGGGUGGUCAAGUUGUGAAGGUUGAAUCAGUAGAUAUUGACUACUUAUCUUAUUUCAGCUUGUGGGAUUAUUUUGGGAAAGAACAGAGCAUCCUGAUAUUCAAUCCAACCUGUUCCUAGCCAAGAUAGUAACAUUCAAUCCAACCUGUUCCUAGCCAAGAUAGUUGGGAAAGAACAGAGCAUCCUGAUAUUCAUCCAUGGACUGUGAAGAAGCCCCCUGGUAGGCCUAGAAGAAAAAGAACGAAGAAACCAGAUGAGCCAAAAAAUCCUUACAAGGUUUCCAGGGCAGGUAAGAGUGUGGUGUGUGGCAAUUGUCAUCAAAUUGGGCAUAAUAUACGAGGAUGUAAAGCAUCUGUCACUGGAGAGAGUGCAUGGCAAAAGAGAGUUAGAAUUCAGAAAGCAAAGGCAAGUGGAACUUAUGUUCCAAGCGAGAACCCACCAAAUAAGGGAGGGAGACCAAGGAAGAGAAAAAACACAACAGAAGUAUG